rnacentral:rRNA from 1 species
UACGAAGGGUGCAAGCGUUACUCGGAAUUACUGGGCGUAAAGCGUGCGUAGGUGGUUUGUUAAGUCUGAUGUGAAAGCCCUGGGCUCAACCUGGGGAUUGCAUUGGAUACUGGCAGGCUAGAGUGCGGUAGAGGAUGGCGGAAUUCCCGGUGUAGCAGUGAAAUGCGUAGAGAUCGUAAGGAAGACCAGUGGCGAAGGCGGGUCUCUGGACAGUUCCUGACACUGAGGCACGAAGGCCAGGGGAGCAAACGGG